GGUAGCUUGCUACUUUACCUAGCGGCGGACGGGUGAGUAAUGCUUAGGAAUCUGCCUAUUAGUGGGGGACAACAUCUCGAAAGGGAUGCUAAUACCGCAUACGUCCUACGGGAGAAAGCAGGGGACCUUCGGGCCUUGCGCUAAUAGAUGAGCCUAAGUCGGAUUAGCUAGUUGGUGGGGUAAAGGCCUACCAAGGCGACGAUCUGUAGCGGGUCUGAGAGGAUGAUCCGCCACACUGGGACUGAGACACGGCCCAGACUCCUACGGGAGGCAGCAGUGGGGAAUAUUGGACAAUGGGGGGAACCCUGAUCCAGCCAUGCCGCGUGUGUGAAGAAGGCCUUUUGGUUGUAAAGCACUUUAAGCGAGGAGGAGGCUACCGAGACUAAUACUCUUGGAUAGUGGACGUUACUCGCAGAAUAAGCACCGGCUAACUCUGUGCCAGCAGCCGCGGUAAUACAGAGGGUGCGAGCGUUAAUCGGAUUUACUGGGCGUAAAGCGUGCGUAGGCGGCUUUUUAAGUCGGAUGUGAAAUCCCUGAGCUUAACUUAGGAAUUGCAUUCGAUACUGGGAAGCUAGAGUAUGGGAGAGGAUGGUAGAAUUCCAGGUGUAGCGGUGAAAUGCGUAGAGAUCUGGAGGAAUACCGAUGGCGAAGGCAGCCAUCUGGCCUAAUACUGACGCUGAGGUACGAAAGCAUGGGGAGCAAACAGGAUUAGAUACCCUGGUAGUCCAUGCCGUAAACGAUGUC
rnacentral:rRNA from 1 species